GCAGGGGAGCAAGUCAGUCCUAGGUUUCCUCCCCAGUGGGGCCUCAGUUUCCCCAUCUGUAAAAUGGGCAGCUGAGAUCAGAGGAUCACUAAAGGCCCUUCGAGCUCUAAUCUUCAUGACAAGUCUCAACCUAGCCUCUGAAGCUGUGGGCUUGAGAGGAUUAUGGAGGAGCCUCAUGACUUAUUUAUUACUGAGAUCUCACCUUACCCCAGGGAGGAGCUAAGAGGGACCCAUAUCCUCGCUGUUCUGCUCUAGCUGCGAAGAGUUUUCAGCUACUUUUCUGCUCGUGAUUUCCCGGGGCACUAUUAUGCUCUCUCCCCAACUUUCUGUGUCCAAACUCUUCCCAUCCUUUGAGGACCAGGCCAUGCCCCACAUUCUCCAGGAAGUCCUCCCUGCUCUAGCUGACAGGGCCUCCUUCUAUACUGGACUGGAGGCACCAGAA